rnacentral:rRNA from 1 species
CAUGCAAGUCAAGGGGGCCCAGCAAUGGGCAACCGGCGAACGGGCGCGUAACACGUGAGCAACCUACCGAAAUGUGGGGGAUAGCCGGCCUAACGGCCGAGUAAUACCGCAUACGCUCUCGAUGAGGCAUUUCAUUGAGAGGAAACCUACGGGACAUUUCGAGGGGCUCGCGGCCUAUCAGCUAGUUGGCGAGGUAACGGCUCACCAAGGCAACGACGGGUAGCUGGUCUGAGAGGAUGGCCAGCCACAUUGGGACUGAGAUACGGCCCAGACUCCUACGGGAGGCAGCAGUGGGGAAUCUUGCGCAAUGGCCUAACGGCUGACGCAGCGACGCCGCGUGUGGGAUGAAGCUCUUCGGAGUGUAAACCACUGUUGCCCGGGACGAAUAGCUCGAUUAAUCGAGCCUGACGGUACCGGGUGAGGAAGCACCGGCUAACUCCGUGCCAGCAGCCGCGGUAAUACGGGGGGUGCGAGCGUUGUCCGGAAUCACUGGGCGUAAAGGGCGCGUAGGUGGUUUGAUAAGGGUGUGGUGAAAGCCCGGAGCUCAACUCCGGGUCUGCCGUGCCGACUGUCAAACUCGAGGACUGUAGAGGCAGACGGAAUUCCGGGUGUAGCGGUGGAAUGCGUAGAGAUCCGGAGGAAGACCGGUGGCGAANGCGGUCUGCUGGGCAGUUUCUGACACUGA